UACGGGGGGGGGCAAGCGUUGUUCGGAAUUACUGGGCGUAAAGGGCUCGUAGGUGGCCAAUUAAGUCAGACGUGAAAUCCCCAGGCUUAACCUGGGAACUGCGUCUGAUACUGGUUGGCUUGAAUUCGGGAGAGGGAUGCAGAAUUCCAGGUGUAGCGGUGAAAUGCGUAGAUAUCUGGAGGAAUACCGGUGGCGAAGGCGGCAUCCUGGACCGAGAUUGACACUGAGGAGCGAAAGCCAGGGGAGCAAACGGGG
rnacentral:rRNA from 1 species